AGCAGCCGCGGUAAUUCCAGCUCCAAUAGCGUAUAUUAAAGUUGUUGCAGUUAAAAAGCUCGUAGUUGAAUUUCGGGGUUAGUAGGUUGGUCGUGCCACUGGUAUGUACUGGUUCUACUGAUCCCUCCUUCUUGUAGAACCGUAAUGCCAUUCACUUGGUGUUGCGGGGAAACAGGACUGUUACUUUGAAAAAAUUAGAGUAGUUUAAAGCAGGCUAACGCUUGAAUACAUUAGCAUGGAAUAAUGAAAUAGGACGUUCGAUCCUAUUUUGUUGGUUUCUAGGAUUGACGUAAUGAUUAAUAGGGAUAGUUGGGGGCAUUAGUAUUCAAUUGUCAGAGGCGAAAUUCUUGGAUUUAUUGAAGACUAACUACUGCGAAAGCAUUUGCCAAGGAUGUUUUCAUUAAUCAAGAACGAAAGUUAGGGGAUCGAAGACGAUCAGAUACCGUCGUAGUCUUAACCAUAAACUAUGCCGACUAGGGAUCGGAUGAUGUUAAUUUUUUAAUGACUCAUUCGGCGCCUU
rnacentral:rRNA from 1 species